rnacentral:misc_RNA from 1 species
UCUCCGUUGGUGAACCAGCGGAGGGAUCAUUGCUGGAAGCGUCUCACGGCGCACCCAGAUACCCUUUGUGAACUUAUUCUUAUAUCGUUGCCUCGGCGCUGAGCUGGGGGCUUCUUUCCAAGGAGCUCUCCCAUGGUCUCUCGGGACGAUGGAGCAAGCCCGCCGGCGGCCCUUCUAAACUCUUGUUUUUAUUACGUAUCUCUUCUGAGUUAUUCAAAACAAAAUGAAUCAAAACUUUCAACAACGGAUCUCUUGGUUCUGGCAUCGAUGAAGAACGCAGC